rnacentral:lncRNA from 1 species
GUAUGCUGGCAGAAAUGCUCCCUGAUGCUUGUUAAUUUCGAGUGGCAUCAACAAAGUGUUACCAGGCCUGCCUGGCGUAGGAGCUGAGCCAGGGGAAACGAAGACUGCACUUCAAGUAAAUGCUAAGAGUGGUAAAUUCUGCUGCGGAAAUGGGACUAGUGUGUAAUUUUUGCAUUUCAGAGCAAACCCAGAACAAUACAAGAGUUUGGGAUGCACAGAGGAUAGGGAUGGGGAGUGCUGCAUUAAGUAGGGAGAGGGCCCCAUUACAGAAAUCUAAUUGGGCAGGGAAGAAGAAGUUUCAAGGCUCCAGUUCGACACAGCAACGCUUAGAGACUUGCAGCCCUUGGAGCAGGGUGUGGACAGGUCUUUCUGCCUCCGGUCUCACCUCUUCUCCAGCCCAUCCUGUGCACUACUGGCUAAGUAAUCUUUCUAGCAGGGUGCAUGAAGAUGCCACUCUGUACUCAAAAGCCUUCAGGGGCUCUCCAUUGCCCACCUAAUCAAGCACCAAGCCCUGGUAUUGAUCAUACCCUGAAAGAGGUAAGAAGCCUGAAGAUGGAUACUUCCCAUAAGGAAAGGAGUGAUGGAAUCACUGGAAAGGCUUCAGGGAUGCCUCCCUGUUUUGUAAUGCUGGAAGACUGGCAAGGGUUAUCACUAACAGAAAUACUUUUUUAAAGAUCCAGCAAUUUUGUUUAAGAAGGUGCAAUGGCUCCAAGAAGAGGGUCAGUGCCCCUGGAAGCUUCACCUAGCUUUUUGUUCUUGUCCUGGACUUACAUGACAACCAAGAACAUUAUUGGGACUGAGGAGCACUUCAUUGUCACAGUCCCACAUAGCUCCCUUGCAGUUUUGUUAGAUACAGUUCCCCCAGAAUGGUUUGGGGGGACACAAAUUGGCAAUCAGGGACGAACAGGUGCUAAAAUGAGUUUUCUAACCUCAGUCUGGGGUUCAAUAAAACUGGGAAACUGAAGAAACA